AUCCAGCUGACGUGUCUCAAAAUAGGACGAAACGCGCGUCCUGGAU
rfam:Schistosoma mattheei strain Denwood, Zambia genome assembly, scaffold: SMTD_scaffold0000106